GAUGGACGCUGGCGGCGUGCCUAAUACAUGCAAGUCGAGCGAACAGAUGAGGAGCUUGCUCCUCUGACGUUAGCGGCGGACGGGUGAGUAACACGUGGAUAACCUACCUAUAAGACUGGGAUAACUUCGGGAAACCGGAGCUAAUACCGGAUAAUAUAUUGAACCGCAUGGUUCAAUAGUGAAAGACGGUUUUGCUGUCACUUAUAGAUGGAUCCGCGCCGCAUUAGCUAGUUGGUAAGGUAACGGCUUACCAAGGCAACGAUGCGUAGCCGACCUGAGAGGGUGAUCGGCCACACUGGAACUGAGACACGGUCCAGACUCCUACGGGAGGCAGCAGUAGGGAAUCUUCCGCAAUGGGCGAAAGCCUGACGGAGCAACGCCGCGUGAGUGAUGAAGGUCUUCGGAUCGUAAAACUCUGUUAUUAGGGAAGAACAAAUGUGUAAGUAACUAUGCAUGUCUUGACGGUACCUAAUCAGAAAGCCACGGCUAACUACGUG
rnacentral:rRNA from 1 species